rnacentral:rRNA from 1 species
CCCUUAGAUGUUCUGGGCCGCACGCGCGCUACACUGACGAAUGCAACGAGCUUAUAACCUUGGCCGAAAGGUCUGGGUAAUCUCCAAAUUUCGUCGUGAUGGGGAUAGAUUAUUGCAAUUAUUAAUCUUCAACGAGGAAUGCCUAGUAAGCGCAAGUCAUCAGCUUGCGUUGAUUACGUCCCUGCCCUUUGUACACACCGCCCGUCGCACCUACCGAUUGAAUGGUCCGGUGAAGGCUUCGGAGGCGGCUUUCUCAAUGUUUAUUCGGCGAGACUGCUGCCAAAGUUGAAUGAACCCUACCAUUUAGAGGAAGGUGAAGUCGUAACA